rnacentral:rRNA from 1 species
GACGAACGCUGGCGGCGUGCUUAACACAUGCAAGUCGAACGGAGAUAUCGGAGUAGUAAUACAAAGAUAUUUUAGUGGCGGACGGGUGAGUAACACGUGGGUAACCUGCCCUAUGGAGGGGGAUAACACAAAGAAAUUUGUGCUAAUACCGCAUAAUGUACGAGAGUCGCAUGACUUUCGUAUCAAAGAUUUAUUGCCAUAGGAUGGACCCGCGGCCCAUUAGCUAGUUGGUGAGGUAACGGCUCACCAAGGCGACGAUGGGUAGCCGAUCUGAGAGGAUGAACGGCCACAUUGGAACUGAGACACGGUCCAGACUCCUACGGGAGGCAGCAGUGGGGAAUAUUGCACAAUGGGGGAAACCCUGAUGCAGCAACGCCGCGUGAGCGACGAAGGCCUUCGGGUUGUAAAGCUCUGUCUUAGCUGACGAUAAUGACGGUAAGCUAGGAGGAAGCCACGGCUAACUACGUGCCAGCAGCCGCGGUAA